UGCGCAGGCGGAAUGGUAAGUCAGUGGUGAAAUCCUACAGCUUAACUGUAGAGCUGCCAUUGAUACUGUCAUUCUUGAGUACAUAUGAAGUGGGCGGAAUGUGUCAUGUAGCGGUGAAAUGCAUAGAUAUGACACAGAACACCGAUAGCGAAGGCAGCUCACUAAAUUGUAACUGACGCUCAUGCACGAAAGCGUGGGGAGCAAACAGGAUUAGAUACCCUGGUAGUCC
rnacentral:rRNA from 1 species